GAUGAACGCUGGCGGCGUGCUUAACACAUGCAAGUCGAACGGAAAGGCCCUGCUUUUGUUGGGUGCUCGAUUGGCGAACGGGUGAGUAACACGCGAGUAACCUGCCCUUGACUUUGUGAUAACUUCAGGAAACUGGGGCUAAUACCCGAGAGGAUCUCUUGCUCCAUGUGGGGGGUUGGAAAGUUUCGGCGGUGGGGGAUGGACUCGCGGCUUAUCAGCUGGUUGGUGGGGUAGUGGCGUACCAAGGGUUUGACGGGUAGCCGGCCUGAGAGGUGGAACGGCGACAUUGGGCCUAAGAGACGGACCAGAAGCCAACCGGACGCAGCGGGGGAAAGUAUUGCACAGUAGGCGGGCGCCUGAUAUAGAGGUGCCGCGUGCGGGAUGACCGGCUUCGGGUUAUAAACAGAUUUGGCAGGUAACGUAGAGUGCGUGACGGUAAUGAGUAAAGAAGCAACGGCUAACUACGUG
rnacentral:rRNA from 1 species